rnacentral:rRNA from 1 species
UUAAGUGGAUUUGGAGAGCUCAGAUCCCCCCCUAAGAUUAAGGUUUUCCUCUGGCAAGCCUCUCGUGGGCGUUUGCCUACGGGUGAUCAAAUCCGUAAACGUAAUGGCCCGGGCUCUGACUGUUGUGCUCUUUGUGGCAUGAGAGAAGAUACACCUCACAUUUUCUUUAAUUGUGUCUUGGCUAAGUUGUUUUGGUGCUGCAUUAGAUCCUGGAUGCACGUUUCCUGGGCUCCGACCUCCUUCGCUGACUUGCGCGCCUCAGCUAAUUCCUUGGUUGGGGCCCAGAGGAGAUUAUUUUGGGUUGGCUUUGCUGCCAUGUGCUGGUCCUUGUGGACAACAAGGAAUAAAUUUACUAUUGAGCAUGUUUUCCCUGCUAAGCCUGCUGAUUGCUUAUUUAAGAAUUGUAUAUUUCUGUAG